rnacentral:rRNA from 1 species
GACGAACGCUGGCGGCGUGCCUAACACAUGCAAGUCAAGGCGGUAGCAAUACCGACUGGCGCACGGGUGCGGAACACGUAGGUAAUCUGCCCUUUAGGGGAGAACAACUCAUCGAAAGGUGAGCUAAAUCUCCGUAAUGUUUUACUAUGGCAUCAUAGUUCAACCAAGUUUUCUAAGGGAUGAGCCUGCGUCUGAUUAGCUAGUUGGUGAGGUAACUGCUCACCAAGGCUACGAUCAGUAGCUGGUCUGAGAGGAUGAUCAGCCACAUUGGGACUGAGACACGGCCCAGACUCCUACGGGAGGCAGCAGUGAGGAAUAUUGCUCAAUGGAACGAAAGUCUGAAGCAGCAACGCCGCGUGAGGGA